rnacentral:rRNA from 1 species
GAUGAACGCUGGCGGCGUGCCUAAUACUUGCAAGUCGAGCGAACGGACGAGAAGCUUGCUUUUCUGAUGUUAGCGGCGGACGGGUGAGUAACACGUGGAUAACCUACCUAUAAGACUGGGAUAACUUCGGGAAACCGGAGCUAAUACCGGAUAAUAUUUUGAACUGCAUGGUUCAAAAGUGAAAGACGGUCUUGCUGUCACUUAUAGAUGGAUCCGCGCUGCAUUAGCUAGUUGGUAAGGUAACGGCUUACCAAGGCAACGAUGCAUAGCCGACCUGAGAGGGUGAUCGGCCACACUGGAACUGAGACACGGUCCAGACUCCUACGGGAGGCAGCAGUAGGGAAUCUUCCGCAAUGGGCGAAAGCCUGACGGAGCAACGCCGCGUGAGUGAUGAAGGUCUUCGGAUCGUAAAACUCUGUUAUUAGGGAAGAACAUAUGUGUAAGUAACUGUGCACAUCUUGACGGUACCUAAUCAGAAAGCCACGGCUAACUACGUG